rnacentral:other from 1 species
ACUUCCCAGGCCGGAACGAAAAGUGCGGAGGAGCGAUCUGAAGGGCUUUUGGCUUGUGGUUGUGAUGUUGUGUUUGCUAUUUGUUUUUCUGCCUUUGCAGAUAAGGUAGCCAGACUACCUUUUUAUUACAUUUACCUUGUCUGUCCUGAUUUAAUAUAGCACCGCCAACGCGGUGCUUUUUUUA